rnacentral:rRNA from 1 species
AUGGAGUCGGGUCACCUGGAAAAUCUUCUUUGUGACAAUGCUUGGGCUAUUGUACUGUAUAUCAACAAUUACGCUGUGCUCAUGGGUUACCUAUCCAUGGGCAUCAAGGGCUUGGGGUUGCUGAUGCUAACUUGGACCACUGUUGUUCUUCUUGGUGGAUUCGUGUCUAGUCUGCAUCCGAAUGACUUUUGGUGCUUGACAUUUGUGACGGUCAUACAGACAGCUGGGUUAGUACUUUUCCAACAUUUAACUCGUAUAUUUACUGCCUAUGUCUUUUUAUGUUCCUUCUUCCUUUGGCUUGAUUCAUAUUUUCUUGCUGCUCAUGUAUGUAGCUUCCUAGUAAAAUCAUCUUUGUAUGUUCCUUCUUCCUUUGGCUUAAAAAAAUAG